rnacentral:tRNA from 2 species
CAGAGGGUAGUUUAACUUAGAAUCUUAGCUU